rnacentral:misc_RNA from 1 species
CCCUCCUGUAACACUAUUUUCCUUCCCCUGAGAUUUUUUGGAUUUUCUUUGUCCUGAAGAUAAAUCCUGAUCUGUUGUAGACCCUGGAGUCUUCAACUCCAGUUCUGUUGUAACAUCAUCAUUACAGUCCAAACUUUUUCCAAUCUUGCUCUCCCCUGAUGAUUUAUUCUUCGAAUCUUGUUUGCCCGAAACGUGGGAUCCACUGGCAGGCUGUGCAAGUGAAGAUGCAUGUUGAGUGGACUGCUGAUCAACCAAGGGAUUAGGAGUCAUAAAUGGGACAAAAGUUGAACAGGGAUUAUGGAUUACUGCAGGAUUCUGAUUUCCAAAGAAGGGGUAUGCUUGCAUGGAUGGAUGCAAAGGAAUUGGCCCUGGAGGCAAUGUCACUGGCAUGGGGAAGGGACAAGAAGUUGGGGCCAUGACAACUGAGUGAUCCAUAGCAACCCAUGGGUACAUAGUCCUGAGUCUUUGCUGAUAUUGGAUAUUAAGAUUCUCAAUGUCGGAUUUGAGAGAUGCCUUCUCUUCUCUAAGGUCAUUUUUCUCUUGUGUCAACUCACGUGAUUCUUCAGUCAAUGUAGCAUACUCUGCCUUAAGUUUGUUGACUUGAGAUGUCAAAUCCUUCAACAACUGUAUUGUAUCCGCCAGAAUGGUUGCUUUGUCAUUUUUGG